rnacentral:rRNA from 1 species
GACGAACGCUGGCGGCGUGCUUAACACAUGCAAGUCGAACGGAAGGGCCCUGCUUUUGUGGGGUGCUUGAGUGGCGAACGGGUGAGUAACACGUGAGUAACCUGCCCUUGACUUAGGGAUAACUUCAGGAAACUGGGGCUAAUACCGGAUAGGAGCUCCUGCUGCAUGGUGGGGGAUGGAAAGAUUCGGCGGUUGGGGAUGGACUCGCGGCUUAUCAGCUUGUUGGGGGGGUAGUGGCUUACCAAGGCUUGGACGGGUAGCCGGCCUGAGAGGGUGACCGGCCACAUUGGGACUGAGGUACGGCCCAGACUCCUACGUGAGGCAGCAGUGGGGAAUAUUGCGCAAUGGGCGGAAGCCUGAUGCAGCAACGCCGCGUGCGGAAUGACGGCCUUCGGGUUGUAAACCGCUUUCGCCUGUGACGAAGCGUGAGUGACGGUAAUGGGUAAAGAAGCACCGGCUAACUACGUG